rnacentral:rRNA from 1 species
UACGUAGGCAGCGAGCGUUGUUCGGAGUUACUGGGCGUAAAGCGUGCGUAGGCGGUUUUCUAAGUCUGGUGUGAAAUCUCCCGGCUCAACUGGGAGGGUGCGCCGGAUACUGGGAAGCUGGAGUACCGGAGAGGUAGGCGGAAUUCCUGGUGUAGCGGUGAAAUGCGUAGAUAUCAGGAGGAACACCUGUGGUGUAGACGGCCUGCUGGACGGUGACUGACGCUGAGGCACGAAAGCGUGGGGAGCAAACAGG